UUGUAGGUUUACAAGUCUGCGGGAGGAUAUUAAAGGGCCUGGUGUGUCCCAGUCCAUAACUCAUUUGGAAAGGAGAACCUUGCGGACCGAGUGUCCCAAACGGGAUUGGCUCGCUGAGACCUCAGUGGACACGAGAAGCCGCGAAGAUCUGCCCGUUCCCGCGAUUAAUUGUCCUGACAACUUGAGAGGUUCUCCCGCUUUUGGUUUCACGCAUAUUCGGGGUGUUUUUCCCUGUAAAGUUUGCCACUGAUAUUGUGUCCCUUUUCUGUGCUACGGCUAUCCAAGGGAUCAGUUCCCACGUGAUGCUGAAGCCGCUGAUCCCGGUACCACUGUAGAGAAUCACUGCUACACAAUUCCUGCCUCACCACUCCCUUUCUAUACACGUGGGGAGAAGAUCUCCCACAAAGAUCCCAAACACACUGCUCGGGCUCUCAAUGCCAAGGUAGUUUCACCUCUUUUAAAGGGCCUUUCAGGCAAGGAUCUCAAGUGGAAUGCUCUUUAACUAUACCCUGCAUGGGAAACCUUGGGAAUAUUUUAAAGUGCUCACUUAAGGCCUAUUGGAAAGCAUCUUUAGUAUAGAUUUCACAGUAUGGUUUUAAGAAGAAAUGAGGUACUGUAGAAUUUUCAAUCUCAGGGGUAUCAUAUUCAUGGGGGUUUGACGGGUAUUGAAUAUUUAUUAGUUAUUUCAUGUGAAGCUUAAAAUGUAUA